ensembl:snRNA U6 U6 spliceosomal RNA
GUGCUCGCUUCAGCAGGACAUAUACUAAAAUUGGAAUGAUACAGAGAAGAUUAGCAUGGCCCCUGGACAAAGAUGACAUGCAAAUUUGUGAAAAAUAUCCAUAUUUU